rnacentral:rRNA from 1 species
CCCUUAGAUGCUCUGGGCCGCACGCGCGCUACACUGGUCGAUGCAACGAGUUUCUUUCCUUGGCCGACAGGCCUGGGCAAUCUUUGAACAUCGAUCGUGAUCGGGAUAGAUUCUUGUAAUUUUUGAUCUUAAACGAGGAAUUCCUAGUAAACGCAAGUCAUCAGCUUGCAUUGAUUACGUCCCUGCCCUUUGUACACACCGCCCGUCGCACCUACCGAUUGAAUGGUCCGGUGAAAUCUCCGGACUGGCGUGAGUCGGAGCAAUCUGACAAACACCGGAAAGGUGAUUAAACCUUACCAUUUAGAGGAAGGUGAAGUCGUAACA